rnacentral:rRNA from 1 species
AUAGUGAACCAGUACCGUGAGGGAAAGGCGAAAAGAACCCCCGAAGGGGAGUGAAAUAGAACCUAAAACCGUGUGCGUACAAGCAGUAGGAGCUAAAUUGUGUAUGUGAUUUUGCAUUUAUGUAAAAUUGUGUUGCACAGCUAUUUAGUGACUGCGUACCUUUUGUAUAAUGGGUCAGCGAGUGAUUCAUAGUAGCAAGCUUAACCUCUUUAGGGGAGGCGUAGGGAAACCGAGUCUUAACUGGGCGUUUAGUUGCUAUGAGUCGACCCGAAACCGAGCGAUCUAUUUAUGGUCAGGAUGAAGUUUGGGUAAAACCAAAUGGAGGUCCGAACCCACUAAUGUUGAAAAAUUAGGGGAUGAACUGUGAAUAGGAGUGAAAGGCUAAUCAAGCUCGGAGAUAGCUGGUACUCCUCGAAAGCUAUUGAGGUAGCGCCUUGUGAAUGACGUUUGGGGGUAGAGCACUGUAUCGACGAUGGGGUGAUAAUCACUUACUGAAUUGAUGCAAACUCCGAAUACCAAACAGUUGAAUCACAGGAGACACACUGCGGGUGCUAAGGUCCGUAGUGGAAAGGGAAACAGCCCAGACCGUCAGCUAAGGUCCCCAAAUAACAGUUAAGUGUGAAACGAAGUGAGAGGGCACAGACACCCAGGAAGUUGGCUUAGAAGCAGCCAUCUUUUAAAGAAAGCGUAACAGCUCACUGGUCGAGUCGUCCUGCACGGACAAUGUAACGGGGCUAAAACUGUUUACCGAAGCUGCGGGCAUACAUGUUUUUUUGUGUAUGCGGUAGAGGAGCAUUCUGUAAGCCACUGAAGCCAUAUUGAGAAGUAUGGUGGAGGUAUCAGAAGAGCGAAUGCUGACAUGAGUAACGAUAAUGUGGGUAAAUAAUCCUACACGCCGGAAGUCUAAGGUUUCCUCGCGCAAUGAAAUUCAGCGCAGGGUUAGUCGGAUUCUAAGGUAAGGCUGAAAAGCGUAGCCGAUGACUAACAGGUUAAAAUUCCUGUACUUAAUAGAUACUGUGAUGUAAUGACGGAGUAGGCUAAAUUGUGCUAGCCGAUGGUUGUGCUAGUCUAAGCAAGUAGGUGAGUGUUUAGGAAAAUCCGGACACUGUAAACACCGAGAUGUGAUGGGGAACUGAUCAGAAUUUCUGAUCAGGGUAGCAAUUGAUGCCACACUUCCAAGAAAAGUUGCUAAACUAUAGGAUCUAUUAAUCCGUACUACAAACCGACACAGGUAGACAGGUAGAGAAUACUAAGGCGUAGAGAUAACUUGGGUGAAGGAACUCGGCAAAAUGACACCGUAACUUUGGGAGAAGGUGAACCUUCAUUAUGUGAGACAAUUUAUGUUAUGCAUAAACUUGUUGAGCGGAAGGAGGUCUCAGAGAAAUGGCGGUAGCGACUGUUUACUAA